rnacentral:rRNA from 1 species
GACGAACGCUGGCGGCGUGCUUAACACAUGCAAGUCACGGGGGUCCCGCAAGGGAUAACCGGCGAACGGGUGCGUAACACGUGAACAACCUGCCCUCGUGUGGGGGAUAGCCAUGCUAACGCGUGGGUAAUACCGCAUACGUUCUCUUUGGGGGAGUCCCGAGGAGAGGAAAGCUCCGGCGCACGGGGGAGGGGUUCGCGGCCUAUCAGCUAGUUGGCGGGGUAAUGGCCCACCAAGGCGACGACGGGUAGCCGGCCUGAGAGGGCACCGGCCACACUGGGACUGAGACACGGCCCAGACUCCUACGGGAGGCAGCAGUGGGGAAUAUUGCACAAUGGGCGAAAAGCCUGAUGCAGCG